rnacentral:rRNA from 1 species
UACAGAGGUGCCAAGCGUUAGGCGGAAUCACUGGGCUUAAAGCGCGUGUAGGCGGGUCGUUAAGUGUCCGAGUGAAAUCCCACGGCUCAACCGUGGAACUGCCGGGCAUACUGGCGAUCUUGAGGCAUUCAGGGGCGAGCGGAACAAAUGGUGGAGCGGUGAAAUGCGUAGAUAUCGUCUGGAACGCCGAAGGUGAAAACAGCUCGCUGGGGCCGCGCUGACGCUGAGACACGAAAGCCAGGGGAGCGAACGGG